GACGAACGCUGGCGGCGUGCCUAAUACAUGCAAGUAGAACGCACAGUUUAUACCGUAGCUUGCUACACCAUAGACUGUGAGUUGCGAACGGGUGAGUAACGCGUAGGUAACCUGCCUGGUAGCGGGGGAUAACUAUUGGAAACGAUAGCUAAUACCGCAUAAUAUUGAUUAUUGCAUGAUAAUUAAUUGAAAGGUGCAAUUGCACCACUACCAGAUGGACCUGCGUUGUAUUAGCUAGUAGGUGAGGUAACGGCUCACCUAGGCGACGAUACAUAGCCGACCCGAGAGGGUGAUCGGCCCAACUGGGAAUGAGACACGGCCCAGACUCCUACGGGGGGCAGCAGUAGGGAAUCUUCGGCAAUGGACGAAAGUCUGACCGAGCAACGCCGCGUGAGUGAAGAAGGUUUUCGGAUCGUAAAGCUCUGUUGUAAGAGAAGAACGGGUGUGAGAGUGGAAAGUUCACACUGUGACGGUAUCUGACCAGAAAGGGACGGCUAACUACGUG
rnacentral:rRNA from 1 species